AUUGAACGCUGGCGGCAGGCCUAACACAUGCAAGUCGAACGAGUGGCGGACGGGUGAGUAAUGUCUGGGAACAUGCCUGAUGGCGGGGGAUAACUACUGGAAACGGUAGCUAAUACCGCAUACUAUCGGAUGUGCCCAGAUAGGAUUAGCUAGUAGGUGGGGUAAAGGCUCACCUAGGCAACGAUCCAUAGCUGGUCUGAGAGGAUGACCAGCCACACUGGGACUUAGACACGGGCCAGACUCGUACGGGAGGCAGGAGUGGGGAAUAUUGCACAAUGGGGGCAAGCCUGAUCCAGCCAUGCCGCGUGGAUGAUGAAGGCCUUCGGGUUGUAAAGUACUUUCAGCGGAGAGGCGUUACCCGCAGAAUAAGCACCGGCUAACUCCGUGACAGCAGCCGCGGUAAUAC
rnacentral:rRNA from 1 species